CAUGACUCAAAUGUGUGCUGGAUCUGAUCUGGAAGCUUCCUCCCUGGUGUCUAGUUUUUAUAGUACCAGAAAUUGCUAUGCAAGAUGCCGAGAGAGGAAGAGAUCAACAGUCCUACCCAGUCUUGUUGCCUAGAAUCUACAACAAUGACGGCCAAGGAAAGAUAUCUCUAAAGGUCCAAUGGUGGUAUUCAUAACUUGGCAAGAAUAAAUAGCCGUCUAAUUGGAUUUGAGGCCAGCUCAACAAGAAAGAAAUUGUGUCCAGUAUUAGAAAUCUAGUCAAGAACACAAGGCUAAUAAUGUUGCAUAUCUUAGAGGAGAUCUACCUCUAGAUUACCACUUUACUCAGCCAGCAUAUUUCCUUAACUUGUAAUCUAGCACUUGCCCUUAUACACACAGGUAAGUGUAGCUUUCACCCCUCAUCAAAGUGGUUUCAUUUUUGCAACACACUGAGAGUUUCACGGAAAACUGUAACUCAUCAAAAUUCGGGGAUCAACCAAUUUUGCUAUACCCAGCUCCAGGAAAUACAUCUGCAACACAAUCCUUGCCCCUAAGGCUCAGGGAAUAUCAAUAGAGAGAAGAUGAAAAGACUGUAAGAAUGAGAGGACCAUGAAGUCUUUCAUGAGAUUGUGUCUCCUAGAAACAAUAGGAAAGCUACAACCAUGAUACCUCAAUAGUAUGGCUGCCUAAAAGAAGACCUGAACAAUGACAGCCCCUUUAGACCUACUAAGGUGGAAGAGGAAAUUUCAUGGGGAUUCGCACCUAGAUAAAGAGCUACAGGCAACUAUAUGAAGGCUAAGAGAGGGAGAAUUAGUCUUCCCUGGGGAUGAUCUCCCUAGUUGGUUAUUCAAUACCUAGCGGUCAGCUCUGAAAUAUAUACACAUAAGCAACAGUAAAUGGAUUCAGCAGGUUUUAUACUAUUGGCCUCUUUAUUUCCCUUUAGCCACUGCAUCAGAAUUGUAUUGUAUUUUAUUGUAAAUUAUAUCUGUUAAUUAUUGUUUCUAUCCCUUUUUAGCAGUGUUUUCUACAACUGGAAUGCAGAGCAACCAAAACACACCUUAGAUAACAAAUACAACGCUAAAAGCACAGGAUGUCCUUGUAUGAGCUUCAGUCCAGUCUUACUAUUUAGUCCAGUCUUACUAUUCUCCUCAGCAGUGUGAUGCCACAUUCUGUUCUUUUCUGGGAAGACAGGAAUCAUGAACAUGUUUCAGAUUUUCUAUGUUCUCUAGGACAAUGUUGUGCCAGAUGCUUGCAAAUCAUCAUGUACACUGAAAUUUUCCAUUUUUCCAUUUUUGUUACUCCUUGGCUUUCCUUGGGGAUCUGAACUCUCAGUUUUGUGAUGAUGUUUGUCCUGAAAAUUUAUUUCCAUUGUAAAGAAUUUGCAAAUAAAAAGCAUCACACAUUGAAAAUCAAAAUCAGCUAGAGUGCAGACUUCAUUUCUACCUUUCUACUUGUGAUCUCUGAAAUUUUUCUUAAACCUGAAACCAUGUAUUUUUAGUUUUGAGCUCAAUUUGAG
rnacentral:lncRNA from 1 species